CAAGCCAACCCUGGUGGGGAAAACGAUUCAUAAUCGAUUUUUAGAAAGUUCAAUUCUUUCUGGCUUGC
rnacentral:tRNA from 1 species